rnacentral:rRNA from 1 species
GACGAACGCUGGCGGCGUGCCUAAUACAUGCAAGUCGAACGCACUCUCGUUUAGAUUGAAGGAGCUUGCUCCUGAUUGAUAAACAUUUGAGUGAGUGGCGGACGGGUGAGUAACACGUGGGUAACCUGCCCUAAAGUGGGGGAUAACAUUUGGAAACAGAUGCUAAUACCGCAUAAAACCUAAACACCGCAUGGUGUAGGUUGAAAGAUGGUUUCGGCUAUCACUUUAGGAUGGACCCGCGGUGCAUUAGUUAGUUGGUGAGGUAAAGGCUAACCAAGACCGUGAUGCAUAGCCGACCUGAGAGGGUAAUCGGCCGACACUGGGACUGAGACACGGCCCAGACUCCUACGGGAGGCAGCAGUAGGGAAUCUUCCACAAUGGACGAAAGUACUGAUGGAGCAACG